UUGGAGGGCAAGUCUGGUGCCAGCAGCCGCGGUAAUUCCAGCUCCAAUAGCGUAUAUUAAAGUUGUUGCAGUUAAAAAGCUCGUAGUUGAACUUCAGACCUGGCUGGGCGGUCCGCUUAACGGCGUGUACUGUCUGGCUGGGUCUUACCUCUUGGUGAGCCGGCGUGCCCUUUAUUGGUGUGCGUCGGGGAACCAGGACUUUUACCUUGAGAAAAUUAGAGUGUUCAAAGCAGGCCUAUGCCUGAAUACAUUAGCAUGGAAUAAUAAAAUAGGACGUGCGGUUCUAUUUUGUUGGUUUCUAGAGUCGCCGUAAUGAUUAAUAGGGAUAGUUGGGGGCAUUGGUAUUGUGUCGCUAGAGGUGAAAUUCUUGGAUUGACACAAGACCAACUACUGCGAAAGCAUUUGCCAAGGAUGUUUUCAUUAAUCAAGAACGAAGGUUAGGGGAUCGAAAACGAUCAGAUACCGUUGUAGUCUUAACAGUAAACUAUGCCGACUAGGGAUCGGACGACCUCAACUUUGAUGCGUCGUUCGGCGCCUUACGGGAAAC
rnacentral:rRNA from 1 species